rnacentral:rRNA from 1 species
CAUACGGGAGGCUGCAGUGGGGAAUAUUGGACAAUGGGCGAAAGCCUGAUCCAGCCAUGCCGCGUGUGUGAAGAAGGCCUUCGGGUUGUAAAGCACUUUCAGUGGGGAAGAAAGCCUUGGGGCUAAUACCCUCGAGGAAGGACAUCACCCACAGAAGAAGCACCGGCUAACUCCGUGCCAGCAGCCGCGGUAAUACGGAGGGUGCGAGCGUUAAUCGGAAUUACUGGGCGUAAAGCGCGCGUAGGCGGUCUGAUAAGCCGGUUGUGAAAGCCCCGGGCUCAACCUGGGAACGGCAUCCGGAACUGUCAGGCUAGAGUGCAGGAGAGGAAGGUAGAAUUCCCGGUGUAGCGGUGAAAUGCGUAGAGAUCGGGAGGAAUACCAGUGGCGAAGGCGGCCUUCUGGACUGACACUGACGCUGAGGUGCGAAAGCGUGGGUAGCAAACAGGAUUAGAUACCCGGGUAGUC